rnacentral:rRNA from 1 species
GUCGAGCGAGAAAGCCCGCAAGGGUGAGUAAAGCGGCGCACGGGUGCGUAACACGUGGGUAAUCUGCCCAGGAGUUCGGGAUAACUCGCCGAAAGGCGUGCUAAUACCGGAUAAGACCACGGGAGCCUCUGGCUCCUGCGGGAAAAGGUGGCCUCUGUACACAAGCUAUCAUUCCUGGAUGAGCCCGCGGCCCAUCAGAUCGUUGGCGGGGUAACGGCCCACCAAGGCUACGAUGGGUAGCUGGUCUGAGAGGACGAUCAGCCACACUGGAAAUGAGACACGGUCCAGACUCCUACGGGAGGCAGCAGUGGGAAUCUUGCGCAAUGGGCGUAAAGCCUGACGCAACAACGCCGCGUGUGUGAUGAAAGUCUUCGGAUCGUAAAGCACUGUCGCGAGGGACGAAUAAGGGCAGGGUGAACAAUCCUGUUCCAUGACGGUACCUCGAGAGGAAGCACCGGCUAGCUCUGUGCCAGCAGCCGCGGUAAUACAGAGGGUUCCAGCGUUGUUCGGAAUUAUUGCGCGUAAAGUGCGUGUAUGCGACUUUGCAAGUCAGGUGUGAAAGCCCUCGGCUUAUCCUAGGAAGUGCGCCUGAAACUGUGAUGCUUGAGUACCGGAGAGGGCUGGUGGAAUUCCCGGUGUAGAGGUGAAAUUCGUAGAUAUCGGGAGGAACACCUGUGGCGAAGGUGACCACGAGGACGGAUACUGACGGUGAGACGCGAAAGCGUGGGGAGCAAACAGGAUUAGAUACCCUGGUAGUCCACGCUGUAAACGAUGAGCGCUAGGUGUUGUGGGUGUUGACCCCCGCAGUACCGCAGCUAAUGC